rnacentral:misc_RNA from 1 species
GUGGGAGGGGGCUUGCCCCCGAUGGCUGUGGGUCAGUCACAGCAUCUGUAACUGAUAGACCUCUAUCGGGGGCAAGCCCCCUCCCAC